UUUUAGAGUUGUGAUCUGGCUCAGGAUGAACGCUGGCGGCGUGCCUAAUACAUGCAAGUCGAGCGAAUGGAUUAAGAGCUUGCUCUUAUGAAGUUAGCGGCGGACGGGUGAGUAACACGUGGGUAACCUGCCCAUAAGACUGGGAUAACUCCGGGAAACCGGGGCUAAUACCGGAUAACAUUUUGAACUGCAUGGUUCGAAAUUGAAAGGCGGCUUCGGCUGUCACUUAUGGAUGGACCCGCGUCGCAUUAGCUAGUUGGUGAGGUAACGGCUCACCAAGGCAACGAUGCGUAGCCGACCUGAGAGGGUGAUCGGCCACACUGGGACUGAGACACGGCCCAGACUCCUACGGGAGGCAGCAGUAGGGAAUCUUCCGCAAUGGACGAAAGUCUGACGGAGCAACGCCGCGUGAGUGAUGAAGGCUUUCGGGUCGUAAAACUCUGUUGUUAGGGAAGAACAAGUGCUAGUUGAAUAAGCUGGCACCUUGACGGUACCUAACCAGAAAGCCACGGCUAACUACGUGCCAGCAGCCGCGGUAAUACGUAGGUGGCAAGCGUUAUCCGGAAUUAUUGGGCGUAAAGCGCGCGCAGGUGGUUUCUUAAGUCUGAUGUGAAAGCCCACGGCUCAACCGUGGAGGGUCAUUGGAAACUGGGAGACUUGAGUGCAGAAGAGGAAAGUGGAAUUCCAUGUGUAGCGGUGAAAUGCGUAGAGAUAUGGAGGAACACCAGUGGCGAAGGCGACUUUCUGGUCGUAACGACACGAGCGAAAAGUCUAAAAA
rnacentral:rRNA from 1 species